GAACUUUUUAGCACACAGGACACAGUAGACAAGAAAGCAAAUAAACCUACUGCUCAUCUCUGCAAGGUCUGGACAGUUGUGAAGCUCCACUCACUGUCAGGUUCCAUCAAACCCAACCAAUGUUUAUGAAGAGAAAUGUCAUAUUAUACAUACAAACUGUUUUUUGUUUGUUUGUUUGUUUGUUUGUUUGUUUUUUUCCAGUGACUCAAAGACCACACAAUAUAAACCCAUUGAUCGAGUUCUCAAUUUAUCUUAAGUGCACACCAGUAUAAUCCACUUAGUUCAACCUGGGCAGACGUAGCCAAGAUAUCACUUAUUUAAGGAGCAAAGGAAGAUUUGAGUCUAAGGUCUCCUUGUGCAGUUAUGCACCAUCUCACACCUAGGGUACGGCAGAGGAGUU
rnacentral:lncRNA from 1 species